CUGCCAACUGCGUGUGUUGUGGGCACGUGGGUUGCUAGCGUCACCACAACCCGACUGAGAACAACAUGGCGCUUGUAUUUUGGCGCCUAAAUACCACAGUGACGGGAGCUGCGCGCUGAUUGGCUGACGGACCUGCGCACAACACCCAAACUCUCCCACUGCGCAGAUCUCUCUCCCAAAUUAUCCUUAUUUACUUCGCAUUUUUAUAUAUAACUUCUUAUUCUAUCAUUAAAAUACGAUAACAAAUUAUAAAUA